GCGGGCCAACCAGCAGUCACCAGAAUCAAAUUAACAUGUCUCGGCUAUACUGAGAGUUGAAUCUAUCAACUGGGCAUUUUGAAAGUCCCCACCUGGCCCUUCUUCUGUGCAGGUUACACACUAUGCUUUGACCAAAGGGAGGAUGUCAACCUGCAAUAAUAAGACGACUCUCUGAUCCCUCCAUUAAAAGUUUCAGCGAUCAGAUAGAAUGUGGGUCUGAGAGAAGACGUCCAGAAAUAAAACGGAGAACAGUUGCUGUGUCACUGCACAGGGGGACAGAAAGUUGGUUGAAAAGCUGAAAGAAAUGUUUUGUUUCUCUCUAUGUGUUCUUCUUGAUAUAGGUGGGCAUCAUAUGCUUUAAUGAUAAUAAAUAAUAUUUCUAAUA